rnacentral:rRNA from 1 species
CUGAGUUUGAUCCUGGCUCAGGACGAACGCUGGCGGUAUGCUUAACACAUGCAAGUCGAGCGAGAAUCGUUUAUUGAAGGCUUCGGCUGGAAAUAGAUGAGGAAAGCGGCGAACGGGUGAGUAACGCGUGGGCAACCUGGCCUUAAGAAAAGGAUAGCCCCCGGAAACGGGGAGUAAUACUUUAUGAAAAUGAGAGAGGGCAUCCUACUUUCAUUCAAAGCGCAAGCGCUUAAGGAUGGGCCCGCGUAUCAUUAGCUAGUUGGUGAGAUAACAGCCCACCAAGGCAACGAUGAUUAGCCGGUCUGAGAGGGCGAACGGCCACAUUGGAACUGAGAGACGGUCCAAACUCCUACGGGAGGCAGCAGUGGGGAAUAUUGCGCAAUGGAGAAGAACUCUGACGCAGCAAUACCGCGUGAGCGAAGAAGGUCUUCGGAUCGUAAAGCUCUGUUAUCAGGGAAGAAGAAAAUGACGGUACCUGAUGAGCAAGUCCCGGCUAACUACGUGCCAGCAGCCGCGGUAAUACGUAGGGGACAAGCGUUGUCCGGAAUCACUGGGCGUAAAGGGCGCGCAGGCGGUGAUUUAAGCAGGAUGUGAAAGGCUACGGCUCAACCGUAGACAUGCACCCUGAACUGGGUCACUUGAGUAUUGGAGAGGCAGGCAGAAUUCCUGGUGUAGCGGUGAAAUGCGUAGAUAUCAGGAGGAAUACCGGAGGCGAAGGCGGCCUGCUGGACCAAAUACUGACGCUAGGCGCAAAGCG